GGUUGUAUAGUGUAGUGGUCAUCACACGAGAUUUUGAGCUUCACCUUCUCGAAACCCCGGUUCGAACCCGGGUACGACCU